UCUGCCACGGCGGAGAAAAGGACACCGGAGCUCAACCCCCUUGCCGGUAUUAUAGGGGAAUCCCUCCUGAGUAGUGACGCAGGGGGACACGGACAUGCAAGACGCACCGGAUGAUCCAGUCUGCGUGUUCCAGCGGGUUCGGUGGCGCUGCGGAGCGGGAACUGAGUGUUCCAGUGGGGUCGGUGGCGGAGCAGGAGCUGAGUGCCCCCAGCCCCGGCGUCUCCACUGCACCUUGUGCGUCAACCCUCCAGCGGCCGUGUCCUCACAGAUGCAGUCCUGCAAACGCAAAGAGACACCAACGCUAUUAACGAGGUUGCCAAGGAGUUUAAGUGCAGCCACGGCUUUGUUUCUGCUGGUGCUUCUCUGUAAAGAUGGGCCCACUACAACACAGAUCCAAGAGAACCAGCUCAUAAGCCACUCCUUAUCAUUGGCCAGUAGAUCUUGCUGGUCUCUGAUAAGUCGCUCUCGCCAAGUCUUCCAACAGUGCCACAGCAGCCAUUGUGGGUCAUUACGCAUUGUAAUUGCAUGCGUUUUAAUACCCAUCCAUUUGAUUGUCAAAGCUACCCAAUUGCGUAACACCUUCAGGUGUGGUAAUUACCCUGAUUGUAACUGACAGUUCUGCGCAACGAACAUGUGAUAACAAUAUUAAACUGUGCACUCGUAUCUGCCCGACUGAGGCAUCGUAAACGGCUUCAGUUUAAACAGAAUUUGGACUGUUCACAUUAGUAUUUAUGAAAAUACAUUUCAUAACAUGCAUGUAUUGUUUAAUAAUUACAGAUCCAAUUAAAUGAUUCCCGAUUAAACUGGACAACAUCAGGGGUUCUUUGUAUUUAUCCUAAAUUGUGUCUUCCGUGUG